CCCGCUGAACUUAAGCAUAUCAAUAAGCGGAGGAAAAGAAACUAACAAGGAUUCCCCUAGUAACGGCGAGUGAAGCGGGAAGAGCUCAAAUUUGAAAUCUGGUCGUCUUUGGGGGACCGAGGUGGAGAUCAAAAAAACGGUUUCUGGGGCGGAACAGGGACCAAUCCUUUGGAAUCCGGAGCCUCGUAGAGGGAGAAAAUCGCCUCUGAGACGCACGCCCGGAGCGCUGUGAGGCGCUCUCUAAAAGACGAGAGGUGUGUGAAAGCGCCUCACAACAUGGGAGGAAUUCUAUCUCUAGAUAUAUAUAGUGGAGAGAGAGAUAGCGAACAAGUACAGCGAGAGAAAGAUAAGAAGCGCUCUGUAAAGAGAGACAAACACAACGCGAAAUAGUGGAAAGAGAAACGCUAGAGGUCACACGCGUCUCGACGUACUCUCACUGGCGCUGCCCACUGAGGAUUUCCCGUGUGAACGGCCCACAGCUCUUGUGACUGGCUGAAAAAGGCUCGGGAAAUGGGGCAUCCUCAGGUGGGGUAUAAUCCCAUGUCCAACUCCGGGGAUGGGAACGAAGAGCUACACGCGGCUUCUGCGCGGUGCGCGCCGACAUAACGCGCUCAGGAUGCUCGUGUAGUGACUCUAAACGACGCGUCCUGAAACACGUACGGGAGUAG
rnacentral:rRNA from 1 species